GAUGAACGCUAGCGGGAGGCUUAAUACAUGCAAGUCGAGGGAGAAAUUGUUUUUCGGAAUAAUGGAAACCGGCGCACGGGUGAGUAACGCGUACACUACCUACCUUAUACUAGGGAAUAGCCUCGGGAAACUGAGAGUAAUACCCUAUAGUCUCGUAAGAGUAAAGCUCCGGCGGUAUAAGAUGGGUGUGCGUUUGAUUAGCUAGUUGGUAAGGUAAUGGCUUACCAAGGCUACGAUCAAUAGGGGGCGUGAGAGCGUGAUCCCCCACACGGGUACUGAGACACGGACCCGACUCCUACGGGAGGCAGCAGUAAGGAAUAUUGGACAAUGGGCGAAAGCCUGAUCCAGCCAUCCCGCGUGAAGGAUGACUGCCCUAUGGGUUGUAAACUUCUUUUGUUUGGAAAGAAACCCCUUCUUUUAAGAAGGGCUGACGGUACCUUACGAAUAAGCACCGGCUAACUCCG
rnacentral:rRNA from 1 species